CACCUCACAGCUCUUAGAAUGGCUAAAAUUAAUAACACAGGAAACAAGAGAUGUUGGUGAGACUGUAGAGAAUGGGGAACACUCUUAAACUGUUGGUGGGAAGGCAAACUGGUGCCGUCACUCUGGAAAACAGUAUGAAGGUUACUCAAAAAAUU